rnacentral:ncRNA from 2 species
CCUUAUGACUUCGUCAUGGGUCGCUGAGUUUCAUCGCUCAGCGCUAAGAGGGAACCCGGUGCGCAUCGUCGAGAUGCAAUGCCGGGACUGCCCCCGCAACUGUGAGCGGCGAGUUUCCUGUCGAAUAGGCCACUGAUGCAGCAAGCGUCGGGAAGGCGAGACAGGAAACAACGACCCGCGAGUCAGGAGACCUGCCCGCGACGAUGUUUUUCC